GGAAAAAUCGCCUAAUGGUAUGGCAAUAGUUUGCUAAACUACGAAUGUAAAAACAUUCUUGGGGGUUCGAAUCCCCUUUUUUCCG
rnacentral:tRNA from 1 species